rnacentral:rRNA from 1 species
UGGGGAAUAUUGGACAAUGGGCGAAAGCCUGAUCCAGCCAUGCCGCGUGUGUGAAGAAGGUCUUCGGAUUGUAAAGCACUUUAAGUUGGGAGGAAGGGCAGUAAGCGAAUACCUUGCUGUUUUGACGUUACCGACAGAAUAAGCACCGGCUAACUCUGUGCCAGCAGCCGCGGUAAUACAGAGGGUGCAAGCGUUAAUCGGAAUUACUGGGCGUAAAGCGCGCGUAGGUGGUUCGUUAAGUUGAAUGUGAAAGCCCCGGGCUCAACCUCGGAACUGCAUCCAAAACUGGCGAGCUAGAGUAGGGCAGAGGGUGGUGGAAUUUCCUGUGUAGCGGUGAAAUGCGUAGAUAUAGGAAGGAACACCAGUGGCGAAGGCGACCACCUGGGCUCAUACUGACACUGAGGUGCGAAAGCGUGGGGAGCAAACAGG